rnacentral:rRNA from 1 species
GUGCAUGCGGCGUGCUUAGACUGCAGUCGAACGCAGCUUCUUCGGAGGCUGAGUGGCGCAGGGGUGAGUAACGCGUAACUGACCUGCCCCCAACUCUGGAAUAACCCUCCGAAAGGAGGGCUAAUACCGGAUGUGCUGUCCAGUCUUGUCUGGCCAGUAAAGGCGCGAGCCGCUUGGGGAUGGGGUUGCGUUCCAUCAUCUUGUUGGUGGGGUAAGGGCCUACCGGGGAGACGACGGAUAACCGGCCUGAGAGGGUGGCCGGUCACAGGGGCACUGACACACGGGUCCCACUCCUACGGGAGGCAGCAGUUAAGAAUCUUCCCCUGUGGACAAAAGUCUGAGGGAGCGACCCCGCGUGAGGGAUGAGGGUCUUCGGAUUGUAAACCUCUGAAUCAGGGACGAAGGGCGCAUAAGCGAUAUGACGGUACCUGAGUAACAGCACCGGCUAACUCCGUGCCAGCACCCGCGGUAAUACGGAGGGUGCAAGCGUUACCCGGAAUCAGUGGGCGUAAAGGGCGUGUACGCGGUACGUUAAGUCUGACUUUAAAGACCGUGGCUCAACCACAGAAGUGGGUUGGAUACUGGCGUGCUAGACCUCUGGAGAGGCAACUGGAAUUCCUGGUGUAGCGGUGGAAUGCGUAGAUACCAAGAGGAACACCUAUGGCGAAGGCAGGUUGCUGGACAGAAUGUGACUCUGACGCGCGAAAGUGUGGGGAGCGAACCAGAUUAGAUACCCGGAUAGUCCACACUCUACACUAUGUACGUUGGCUGAUGGCGAUAUGCCCUCGUGGGCGAAGCUA